UCUCCAUUGGAGAACCAUCAAAGUUCACCUUUAAUUUUGAUACCAUUAAACUUAAUCUUUUCUUUAUUCUUGGAAAAAAUAAUCAAACUUUCACUGAUGUUUGGGAUUUUUUUCACUCUAAUAUCCGAAGGAAGCUGUUAUUUGCAAUCUAGCCUUUUUUCAGCUUAUAAUCAUAUUUUUCUUUUUGGUACAAUUGUAAUGGAUUAUAGACAGCCAUUCUUUUCAUUGGAGGAAAAAAAAAAAACAACAGGUAAAUUGGUUGUUCUCAAGAUUCAUGUUUCUUUGAAUUCAAUAUAAAGCUUUCUCUUUUCAUCUGUUACCUCACAGAGCAUGUGCUGCAAAUGCCCUGAAUAUCUAAUACUUCCUCCUUUUCUUUCUGUUAUGGAACAUUCUUAACUUACUCUUUGUAUUGAAAUAAGUCAGCCUCCUUCAGUCAGUGAAUUGACAUACACUGAAUCAAGCAUGACCCCAGCUACAUAUGCCCAUUGAUCUUCCAGUUUCACUUCAGCCUCUGUGCAGAGCUAAGCGCCUGCUGUUGCAGCUGAAGUAGAUGCCUGAGCUCACAAGACUUUAGAAACUUCUUGGUGACUGUUUCAGUGGACCAACAUGGCUCCAUGGAUCAGAUGGUGGGUUGUGUACUGUGUACUGGUUUAGGCAAGGACAGCAUUAUUCUUAGUUAAAAUGAAUUCAAAUCACAGGCUAAUGUUCUCCAUAUAGAUGACAGGGAGAACAGCUGCUGCCUCGAAAGUCAAAGCAUUUUGCUGUUAGGAUAUCUUCAUGAAGCCAUAUCAGUAUAUUUUUCAUUGUAUGUCCCUGAGAAUAUUUGGGCUCAAGCAGGGUUAGAAGUUGAGUUGCUGAAAUACUAUGGUGAAAGUUGUCAUCAAGCCCUUCCUAGUGUUCAAGCUGUUUUGGUACCUGCUGUCACAAGAUUUUCAAGCUUGUAAACUCAACUCAGACUUAGCCUGAGCUACUCUUUCAGAGAUUUGCAUCUCUCAUAGGCAAUUCUGCUAAAACUGACAGCAGUCUUGCUAAUUUUUGCCAAUCAUGGCAGACUGUUUCAGUGGGUUUUUUUAUACUUAAUAUAAAGAUGGUUGACUGGAUUCCUGUACGUUCAUUUUUGAAGACACUGAACUUUUCCCCACAAGUAAAAUUACAUAUUACUUAACUUUCUGUCUAAAAUCUUUCCAGUUAUCUGCAAAUGUGAUUACAUUGCAGCUGUGUGCAUAUACCAAAUUUUGUUCUGCCAGGCCAUAGAAAGCCAUUGUGGUAUCCCACCAUGCUUCAGCCUGCCACUUAAAUACCUAUAGCACAUUCCAGUCUCCUCAGUAGACUUAGUGUGAAGCUGGGCUGCAUUUAUUUUGCAUUUCUUUGCUGGUGUAAGAGGACUGCAGAAAUGACGAGGAAUGUAUGAAGGUGAGAACAGAACAUGCUGAGCAAUGGUAAUCUCUGGCUGGCCAGUGACCCCUCUGGGUACCGUUAUCAUCCAGUGUAAUUCGGAGCAGCAGUAAUAAUUCAUGUCUGGCUUGGGUAUAGAGGCAGAAGAAAGGGAACACAUGACUUUCUUCUAUGACUUACUGCUCUGUAAAAGGAUUUUAAAGAAUCUUUGGGGAGAAAUUUAGGUCUCAGAUGCACACAUGUGGAUCUCAUUGAUUUCAUAGGAGACCAUGCGAGUGUGUACAUUAACAGACAGAAUAUAGCUUUUGAUCUUUAAGAGCAAUUAAUAUAAAAUAUGGAAUUACACUACUGUGUAAUAGGAUAUUUUUUACUACUUUGUUAAAAGUACUCCCCAAACCCAAAUACAAAACAACGUAACAUCCCAGGCCAUAGUCUUGUAAAGGCAUGUCUCCACCAACACUUGUCACUUUCUGAUGCUGCUUGUGUGUUUGAAUGUUAGGCUUUGAACUUCAGUAAAACAUUUGUAUUUAAUAAAAAACAAGACUUCCUGUCCUCACAUCUGUCCAAGCCGUUGAGUGGCCUUACAGUGGAAGGUGAGAGUUAACUGUUGUGACUCUGCAGGAAUUCUCUUCUGACCCUUUCGUGUCCUUGUGUGAUGUGUUAACAUGCACCCCAAUCACACAAACAUGCAACCAUGGAACACUUAAGAACACAUUUAUGGUUCUGAGACUGCUGGUUACCAAGUACCUAUCACAGCUAAUACCUGAUGGAGGCGAUGAAUUUAAAAAAACACUGUUGGCACAGACCUUGCAAGGAUGUACAUGGCUGGUAAGCUUAGAGGUAAAUAAGUAGAGUCUACACCUUGAAACUAACGUGGUCGCAUCUACCUGUGAAUGGGUAGUAAUAAAACGCAGUGACCCUCAACUGGAAGCGCUCUUGCUUUCAUUCUGAAUACCUGAAAUGUUCAUUGUAUUGGACUGACAGAUGAAUUCACUGUGAAAUUUGAAGCAGCUUCUGCCUGGAAAGCUUCACACAGAUUUAACCUAAGAAAGGAGGUCCAAAGUGAGCAACAGGCAUUCAAUAAAGCCUGCAACAGACUCUCAGUUGGAGCAGCAAACUCUUCCAACACUUUCUUCAUGAAGUGAAAUAGCACAAUGUGCCUCUCACAGAAGAAGCUUCUAUAAGGUCUUUUCUUGUCUCUUUGUUAACCUGUUGAUUUGUAAAUAAAAGAGAGCCAAUAGGAGUUAUUUUGUCCAAUCUUGGGAAAGUAAGAUUGUUGUCUUGGAACAAGAAUUUACGUGUUUCCAUUUGAAAUAGACUGUGUUGUUCUUCCUUAUACCCUCGCUAUAAAUACAGAAUGCAAUUCUCCUGAAAGGUAUCUAUUGAUCUCUCUGUUUUCUUGGAAAGCCCAUGCUUUUGUUCCCGCUUUCCAAUUUAAGUAUCUCAAUCCUUGUCUGAACUGUUCAAUAGACAUUCACCUUCAGGCACCAGCUGAACCUGGAAAAAUUCAAUCUGAUGUACUAGAUGAAAUUUUGGGAAACUAUGAAUAAAGAAAAACAGAAUAAAAAGGAAAUAUGCGUGCACACUUGCCUAUAAGUGAUACAUUUUAAUCCAUUUCAGUAUCACUCUGUAUCUUACUGUAUUUUUGUUGUGCUAAAGCUCUAAGCCCAAUUGACUAUGCAAAAUGGCUUUUUAAACUCCUUCCCUUCAAAGAAAAAUGCUGCCUGUAAAAAUUUGCUGAAAAAAAUGAAGCUCCAGAGAGAUUAAAUAUUAGAAAAAUAUAUAUCCUCUUAUCUAAUGUUCUGUUGGACUACUAGAAAAUGUUCAUUUUGUAGCAAAUUGCUGCAAAAUUAGAAGUGGAGAACAGAAUAUUAUGACUGACUGGUAGAAACGUGUUGGCAUAGCUUGAGACCAUGUAUUACCUUACAACACCCAUCCACUGUCCUCUUUGUAAUUGGAAGACAGGGCGACAGGUUGCCCAGAGACGUGUUGGAUGCUCCGUUCCUGGAGACGUUCAAGGCCCCGCUGGACCAGACUCUGAGCGACCUGAUCUAGCUGUAGGGGUCCCUGUUCAUAGCAGGGGAGUUGGAAGGGACCUUUAAAGGUCAUCUAGUCCAACUCUAUGGAGCCUAUGAUUAUAUGGCAAGAUAUACCUGCGGUGCUUUGGAGAGAGAACAACCAAAACUAGGAUUAUGCACAAUGUUGUAUUCUAAUGAUCAUUCUUGGAGUAAAAUUCCUGGUAUCUGAGUUCUAUGCUUGCCAAUUACCCUAACUUCUGAUUCAGACAAAUGGAAAUUAAUAAGAUACAACCUUGCAAAGUUUAUUUACUCACAGCAUAUUAAUCUCUUCAUAGUCUAAAUUAUACAGUCUGCAGCAUGAUUUGGCACAUAAACGCGGCAGAAUUAGUUAUUUCACCGAUUCAGUGUACAAUAUUUUUUAGAACACAUAAGAAAACAGUGUUCAAGUAGACUUUGGGGUGUAAAUCUGAACUUGUUAGCUGGAGUUCAGAUGUUCCACCUUGGAAUUAUAUCUCAUUUAACAGAUUAAUUAGAGAGAGAGAUAGUCAGAUGAAACAUUUAAAAAAAAAUAAUAAUUAUCUGUGUUCUAUUGUAUAUAGAAGUGGAGAUAGAAUCUACCCUUAUUCUUUCCCAUCUCCAGGAAGAUUCUAGGUAGUAUUUUGGGUUGGUUCUUUCUUUUAUUCAUAUUAAGAGAAUAAAGUAGAGAAAGCCUCAGGGCAGUGUAAGCCCUGUGGCAGAUUCUCAAAAGUAGUUGCAGAUAGAUAUUUUUUGAAUUUUGUUCCUGGCAUUACAAGUGGGAGAAGAUGCUGAAGGUAGCUUUUCUAAACAUCAAAGGUGCAGAUGAAGUUUACUAUUUUAUUGGAUAUUUAAGUUGAUUGCAGAGUUGUUGUUUUUUUUUUCUUUUUUCCCUGAAAGAUUAGGUCAGCAUAAUUAAAUAUAAGUGUAUAUUAGACAUUUAAAUCUACACCUUCUGGCUGCCUUUAUGCUCAGCAUUCAGUUGGUGCCAAAAGCUUGUUUCAUCUUGGGUUCAUGCAUCUAAAGUUUAUCUAAGUUUGUUUUCUCUGAAGAAGAGCACAUAUGCAUUGGAGUCCAGAAUGCCCUCCACUCUUCUGGGAGCUGUAUUUGCUCCUUGCUGUUUGACAGAGGUAGGAUGAGCCAUUUGUAUCAUCCCCAUAUAUUGAGUGAAUCAGGGAUGUUUGGAUCUGUGGUAAAAAAUAAUGUCAUCCAAUCCCGGUUUUCAUUUUGAUGCUCAAAGAUGACAUCAAAGCUCAAUACUAGGGAGGAAUAUCCUCUUAAUAAGGAAGGGAUGGGGGGGGAGGAGGGGGUGAAGUCAGCCCUUCACUUCUCAGUGAUUGGGAUUCACUGUGUUGUUGCUGGGUGGAAUAGAGUAAUGCUGUUGCUGCUCCUGCUUCUUCACAGUGAUGUUUCUGUUCCAGUUUUUGCUGACUCAUAUUCAGGAAAACAUGAUGCGCAGACACAAUGCACUGUAACUCUUUUUCUUUCCCCCACUAACCUCGGUAAGUAUUCUUUUUUUCCUGUCUAUGACUAGCAUAGUACUAUUAUUGCUCUGCUGAUAGAGUUGGUAGGAGGGGAAAAGGCAACCUUGUAAACAAACUGCUAGCAGACAGAUUAAUCUCAGAGAGGGCAUUUAAAUGAAACCUGCUGUUUGUGGUACAUCCACCUCUUUAGGGCAGAUCAAUCCUGAUAACUCACCCAUCUCUAUGAACUACACUUGCUAGAGCUGUGUUCUUAAAUGGGAGAAGUGCUUACAAUAGCCAUUUACAACUGUAUUCUGUUUAAUUAGUCAGCAAAGCCAGUGCUGCAGGGAUAGAUCACUUUGCUUUAAAGAUUUGAGAAUGUUAAUAGUACAGUAUAUCAUUUUAAUUAUUAUUGGAUGAAUGUUGUGUCUCGAAGAACAUCCAAUGCAAAUCACAAAAAAUGGCCUGAAGUGACCCAAGGGUUGUGCUUUAUUAGAAAAUUAAUAGGUCCAUUGGUUAAAUACAAGGAGAGGUUCUUACUUCAAAUGUCACUCUGCGUAGGUCUGCUGUAUGUGUGCCUGUGUGUAUGUGGAAAUGAAAUCCUCUUGCUUCCACUUUGUCCACAGAAAGUUUCUGUAUUUCGAAAGAUUCUUCCCAGAAUGCUCCAGAGUAUUUUCAGUGCGACACGUAGCCCAGGACUGCAUGAAGUCAUGUCUUCUUUCUUUUGAUCUCUAAUAAGGUUUGUAGAGACCAGGCAAGCUUUAAGACAUCUAGAGUUAUCUCUGCUCUGAGAUUAAAAUGGAAAACACUGAAGUACGGGCUAGAAA
ensembl:lncRNA